rnacentral:rRNA from 1 species
UAGGGAAUCUUCGGCAAUGGACGAAAGUCUGACCGAGCAACGCCGCGUGAGUAAAGAAGGUUUUCGGAUCGUAAAACUCUGUUGUUAGAGAAGAACAAGGGUGAGAGUAACUGUUCACCCCUUGACGGUAUCUAACCAGAAAGCCACGGCUAACUACGUGCCAG